rnacentral:rRNA from 1 species
CGACGCGACCGCGCCGACCGGGUGAUGCCCCGGAAGCCCGGGCGGGCCGUCGCUGCGUCACGCUGCUCGCCCGCGGGCGCCCGCCCUUGCGCGCACGUCUUGGCGCCGGGUUGCCAGCGGUGUCCGGCUAGCAGGGACCGCCGCGGGGGGUGCAACCGUCGUCCUGAGCCGUCCGCCGCGUCCCGGGUGAGCGGGCAUGCAUGGCUUCGUCCUUGGGGAGAGCGUCGCGCUCCGGCAGGAUCGACCGGAUGA